UGGGGAAUCUUGCGCAAUGGACGAAAGUCUGACGCAGCCACGCCGCGUGAGUGAAGAAGGCCUUCGGGUUGUAAAGCUCUGUCGGAUGGGACGAAAAUACCUAAGUUUAAGAGAUGUAGGUACUGACGGUACCAUCAAAGGAAGCACCGGCUAACUCUGUGCCAGCAGCCGCGGUAAUACAGAGGGUGCAAGCGUUGCUCGGAAUUAUUGGGCGUAAAGGGCAGGUAGGUGGUCCUAUUUGUCCGGGGUGAAAUCCCAGGGCUUAACCCUGGAAGUGCCUCGGAAACGGUAGGACUAGAGUCUGAGAGAGGUUUGUGGAAUUCCCAGUGUAGCGGUGAAAUGCGUAGAGAUUGGGAGGAACACCAGCGGCGAAGGCGGCAAACUGGAUCAGUACUGACAC
rnacentral:rRNA from 1 species